rnacentral:misc_RNA from 1 species
UUUCUUUGCGGUCCUACUUUUUAUGCGCAAAAAGUGAAGAAUAAUUCGCUCCGUUCAGACGAAUUUAACAGAAUUUACACAUGAAUCUCAUUCGCCAAUAAAUCAAAAACCGCAUUUAACCGUGCAGAAACUGAAUGUCCGUGGAAAACGCAACGUAGCAGUGAUAGUGCUCCAUUAAACCAGCUGAAAAAUCGAAUGAAAAACGACUUCCGCAGACGUCGAAAAGUGCCACAUAAAAGAAAUAGGUGAAAUAAACAAAUAAACGACGGUGGUGACUCGAUAAACAAAACCGAGAAGUGAACCCCAUCCAACCAACGAACAGCUGGGGAAGGGGAAGGAGGAGCGGCACACCUCGCCGUGUUGUCAUGCAUUUUGUCACACAGCAACGGGCACAACAGCAGCACCACAAGUCCUCCACCUCCUCGUCCAGCUCCUCGCUGGCCUCCAGUUCCUCGUGCUCCGGACAAGGAUCGGUAUCGGCAUCGGGAUCGGGACCGGGAUCGGUACUUGGACUAGGAUCCACCUCGCGCUUCGCCUCCCUGCGCAAGUCCUCCAGCCAGGGUGCCCUGCCCAAGUCCUUGGCCACCGCCCACAGCUUCUUCCAUCGCCCCUCGUCCUCGCAGGGCAAGCACAAGCGCACCGCCAGCCUAAAUGCGACGCCCAUGAUUAAAGAUAGUGAUAAAACCAACCCAACAACAUCAAGUGUAACCAUAAUCGCUACGACUGCCGAAAGUUCGAGCAGUAGUAAAACCCCUGCCAAUGCCAACAUGAUACCCGAGACCACCCAGCCCGAUCAGCUCCAGUCACAGACACAGACACACACCCAGCUCCAGCCACAAAUCCAGUCUCAAUCGCCGUCACAGUGCCAGCUGGCACUCAGGGAUCAGGAGAAUCCCGAGAAUCUCCAGCAGCAAUCGCAGCCGGAGGAGGAGAAGCAGGCGGAGGCGCCUGGUAGCAAUGGUGGCGACAGGCGCGAUUCGAUUACCGAGGAGAUCACAAUAACGAGCACCACAAACAGCAGUCUAAGCACCAAACUCCUGACCAUUCAGGAAGCUGCCGGCAGCUUUGAGCAGAGCAGCGUCUCCAUAUCGACGUCCUCCAAACAGAUCGCUUCCACCGCAGCCGGCGCAUCGCCAUCAGCUGCUGCAGCUCCAGGUGCCAAUGAGUCCAACGGCAGCGUCCUCCGUUUAGUCCAGGCCACCUCUUCCACUAGUCCUGGCUCAAUCUCUAGUGUCGGCGCCACACCGAGCAUUAACAUUGUGUCCAGCGAUUCCCCGCGGGAUCAGCCACAACAGUCGCAGGGCGUCGACUCCAACGGCGUUGCUGCUCCAGGCGACAGUCCCAGCAGUCGCAAGAGCUCCACCAGCUCUAAGGGCAAGGCCAGCCAGGCAAAGCUAUCCACAUCCAGCAGCGGACGCGAUGAGCAGGACAUCUCGCAGCACCGGCUGAGCGAUCUCACCCAGCACGAGCUGAGCCUGCUGCGCGUCGACCGGGAGCAACAGGUGACCAGCAGCAGUUCCACCUCCAACGAGAAGCCGGCCAAGCCGUCGCGGCUCUCGGAGCGGGCCAAAAAGAAGUCCUGGUACAACGUCAUCUAUCCCAACUACAAGUCGCGCGCGGAGGACUUCAAGAAGCUCUUCAAGGACGUGCCCAACGACGAGCGCCUGAUUGUGGACUACUCGUGUGCCCUACAACGCGACAUUCUGGUCCAGGGCCGACUGUAUGUGUCGCAGAACUACGUCUGCUUCCACGCGAACAUCUUCAGCUGGGAGACGUACUUGAGCAUCAAGUGGAAGGAUGUGACGGCCAUUACCAAGGAGAAGACAGCACUGGUCAUACCGAAUGCCAUUUCGAUAUCCAGCGGCAAGGACAAGUACUUCUUUGCCACGUUCACCUCGCGCGACAAGAGCUUCUUGAUGCUCUUCCGCGUUUGGCAGAACACGCUGAUGAACAAGCAGUUUUCGCCACAGGAGAUUUGGAAACAUGUGCACACCUGCUACGGCGACGAGCUGGGCCUGACCACCGACGACGAGGACUACAUUGAUCCCACGCUGAACAACGACAACGAGCCGGACUUCGACUUCCAGACGGCCAUCGAUGACGAUAGCAACUCGCAGCGCCAGUCGCAACAGUCGAACCAAUCCAACCAGUCGAAUCCCCUGCUCCCCCAGAGCGGAAACAGCAGUGCCAGCAGCGGCGGCGGCGUCCGUGCCUCUGCCCCCCGCAAGUCGAAGACGAAAUAUUUCUUCAAUUCCUCCAAGUCAUCGGCCAACGCCUCGGCCAGCGGAUCGGAUAACAAUAAGACCAGGGAGAGCUCUCGCAAAUUGAACAAGAAGAUGAAACAGAAUGCCAAGGAGCUGACACUUAGCUCCGUGAAACCGGCGGAGCAGUCGGUGAGCGUCACCAUGAGCGCUCCCAGCGCCAGCAGCAGCAGCACAGCGGGCUCCACCACUGCCUCCUCCUCCACCAUUGCCAAUCACACGGGCUCUGGCUCCGGAUCGGGUUCUCUGUCGGGUUCAAAUACGGCGGCAGCCAGCGGCAGUGGCAGCGACAAAAUGAGUGCGGAGAAGAAGGUUAGUACGGUUUCUAACUCGGCCGCAGUGGCGGCUGCAACAGCAGCCCAAUCACAGGCCAGUGCCAGUUCCGGGUCAGGAUCAUUGGAGUCCAAGCUGGAGAUAAAGCGAAAGCUGGGAAAAAUGCAUCGCCAACGCGAGGAGGGCAAAAAUGCUGCCGAGAGUGUGCCCACAGAUGUAUCCGACUCGUCUGAUUCCGAGGAGAACAAUUUGCCAUUUGUGCCCACCACAGAGUGCACUUCGACGCACGAGGGCCGCCAGAUCGUGCACACCAUUCUGCCAAUUAACGUGGACACCUUGUUUAAUCUACUGUUCAGCAAGUCCAAAUUCAUAACUGACUUCCAUGCCAUGCGCAAGUCAACGGACCUCGUGUUGGGCGAGUGGACCAAGAACGAGGAGGGCCUGCAAGUGCGCACAGUGAACGUCACCGUUCAAUUGGCCGCCUCUGUGGGACCCAAGACCUCAAAGGUAACCGAGUACCAAACGCAGCGAGAGUGUAGCAAACCGGGCGAACUGUAUUCCAUAGACGUAAAUAGUGUUAAUGCAGGCAUUCCAUACGCGGACAGUUUCAGUGUGCUCAUACACUUCUGCCUGGCCAGAACUGUCGAUGAUCACACUAUGCUCUCAAUUCACACCCAGAUCAAGUACAAGAAGUCGAUCUGGGGCGUGGUCAAGGGCUUCAUUGAGAAGAACACGUGGGCGGGCCUGGAGGACUUCUUUGGCGCCCAAUUGCAUGCGCUCCAGAGCGAGACCUGCAUUCCACCUGCCAAGGGAAAGGGACGGAGGCCGAGGAGAGGCAUGAAUCAGCAAUCCGCCACAUCCACGUCGACCACCUCCAUCACGACAGGUGCCCUCCAUACAGCCACAAGUACGGACAAUGACAGCAUCCAAGAGUCGCGACAUUCCCAUCAGCAGGAACAGCAUCAGCACCAGCACAUGCACAUGCACCAUCAUCAUCACCAUCACCACGGUAGUCAGCAUCAUCAUCACGAACCCAGGCACUCCCACCAUCAUCAGCCUCUGCUUCCCCAUCAUCACCAGCAUCCUCAUCACUGGCAUCACCGUAAGGCUCUACUGCAGUCCAGCAGAGGUACCGCCACCCAAAUUCGCCCUCUGGAGGAGGCAGUUGGUCCGGCCCCAGCCGGUGAUCCCCUGGAGACCCAAAUGCUGUCCGCGGGUAGCAUUCCUGGGGCGGCAGUCGGCGCCGCCGCCGGUCAUCCGCUGCUGCUCGAGGGCGGCAAGCAGCAGCAGCUCCACCACCAGCAGCAAAUGCACCAUCACCACCUACAGCCGCACAAGCAGCACCUACAGCAGCAGCAGUUGCAUCUGGGCGGCGGCGACGGCCAGCCUCUGGCAACGGGUCAUGGGUCACAGGGUCACAGACUUAGACACAAGGGCUUGUGGUUGUUGGUUAUACUCUUGCUGUGCUUGAUGCUGGCAUUAAAUGUGAUAUUAUUACUUAAGCUCUGGAGGCUGGAGGAACGCAUUGACGUGGAUCUCAAUCGGCGGGCCCGCAUGCCCAGUUUGGCGGCCUUGAGUGAGCUGCCGAGCACGAAUCAGGAAUGGCUGGAACUGCUGCGCGACCAGGAGAUGGCGCACGAGAAUGAGUGGCACAAGUGGCAACAGGUGCUCCAAACUGCCAUCGAGCUGCUGAAAAAGCUCUCUCUUCUGGGCAAUAUCAAGAAAGCCAACCUGACUGAUAAGAGUUCAAGUUCAUUAAACCGCAUAAAAAUCAGGAACAAUUUGUGAAAUUCGGGGGCCUUUCAGCGGUUCUUCGAUGUAGGAAAGCAAGUUUCUACAUACUAUAUAUAUGGAUUUUAUAUUGGCGUCGGCCUCAACUCGAGAAAAGAAAUAAGAAAAAAGAAAAAGGAGCCAGACAAGCCAGGGAAUUAUGAAAUUUUAAAGAAAUCCCCAAAAACCCAAGUUCCAACAGCGGCAAAAUAUGUUUAAUGCAUUAAUAUAAACGAAACGUGUUUACGGCGGCGAGUGCAGGCAGAAGACGAACAAAAAGUUGUAUACGUAUAUACACAUAGAUAUAUUUAAACAAGAUUUACAUUUAAAAUCCCCCCCAAUACACACGAUCUUUUCAUAUUUGGCGAACAAAUUUUUG